rnacentral:rRNA from 1 species
UCGAGAAUUUUUCUCAAUGGGGGAAACCCUGAAGGAGCGACGCCGCGUGGAGGAUGAAGGCUUUCGGGUUGUAAACUCCUGUCAUUUGGGAACAAGGCUCCGAACGUAACUGCUUCGGAGUUGAUAGUACCAGAAGAGGAAGAGACGGCUAACUCUGUGCCAGCAGCCGCGGUAAUACAGAGGUCUCAAGCGUUGUUCGGAUUCAUUGGGCGUAAAGGGUGCGUAGGUGGCGCUGUAAGUCGGGUGUGAAAUCCUGGGGCUUAACCUCAGAACUGCAUUCGAUACUGCGGCGCUUGAGGACUGGAGAGGAGACUGGAAUUCAUGGUGUAGCAGUGAAAUGCGUAGAGAUCAUGAGGAAGACCAGUGGCGAAGGCGGGUCUCUGGACAGUUCCUGACACUGAGGCACGAAGGCCAGGGGAGCAAACGG